CCGUGCCGUAUGCAGGGGGACAACAGUCAGAAAUGACUGCUAAUACCGCGAUAAGCACACAAUGCUGCAUGGCGAUGGUGUGAAAAGAUUUACUCGGCAUACGAUGGCCCCGCGUCUGAUUAGCCAGUUGGCAGGGUAAUGGGCCUACCAAAGCAACGAUCAGUAGCCGGCUUGAGAGAGUGACCGGCCACAUUGGGACUGAGACACGGCCCAGACUCCUACGGGAGGCAGCAG
rnacentral:rRNA from 1 species